rnacentral:rRNA from 1 species
UACGUAGGGAGCGAGCGUUGUCCGGAAUUACUGGGCGUAAAGGGUGCGUAGGCGGCUAGGCAAGUCAGAUGUGAAAUCCCCGGGCUUAACUCGGGAGUUGCAUUUGAAACUGCUAAGCUUGAGUGCAGGAGAGGAAAGCGGAAUUCCUAGUGUAGCGGUGAAAUGCGUAGAUAUUAGGAGGAACACCAGUGGCGAAGGCGGCUUUCUGGACUGUAACUGACGCUGAGGCACGAAAGCGUGGGGAGCAAACAGGAUUAGAUACCCUGGUA